UUCGAUUAUGAGCCUAGGUCGGAUUAGCUGGUUGGUGGGGUAACGGCCCACCAAGGCGACGAUCCGUAACUGGUCUGAGAGGAUGAUCAGUCACACUGGAACUGAGACACGGUCCAGACUCCUACGGGAGGCAGCAGUGGGGAAUAUUGGACAAUGGGCGAAAGCCUGAUCCAGCCAUGCCGCGUGUGUGAAGAAGGUCUUCGGAUUGUAAAGCACUUUAAGUCGGGAGGAAGGGCUGUAGGCGAAUACCCUGCAGUUUUGACGUUACCGACAGAAUAAGCACCGGCUAACUUCGUGCCAGCAGCCGCGGUAAUACGAAGGGUGCAAGCGUUAAUCGGAAUUACUGGGCGUAAAGCGCGCGUAGGUGGUUUGGUAAGUUGGAUGUGAAAGCCCCGGGCUCAACCUGGGAACUGCAUCCAAAACUGCCAGGCUAGAGUACGGUAGAGGGUGGUGGAAUUUCCUGUGUAGCGGUGAAAUGCGUAGAUAUAGGAAGGAACACCAGUGGCGAAGGCGACCACCUGGACUGAUACUGACACUGAGGUGCGAAGGCGUGGGGAGCAAACAGGAUUAGAUACCCUGGUAGUCCACGCCGUAAACGAUGUCGACUAGCCGUUGGGCUCCUUGAGAGCUUAGUGGCGCAGCUAACGCAUUAAGUCGACCGCCUGGGGAGUACGGCCGCAAGGUUAAAACUCAAAUGAAUUGACGGGGGCCCGCACAAGCGGUGGAGAAUGUGGUUUAAUUCGAAGCAACGCGAAGAACCUUACCUGGCCUUGACAUGCUGAGAACUUUCCAGAGAUGGAUUGGUGCCUUCGGGAACUCUGACACAGGUGCUGCA
rnacentral:rRNA from 1 species